CCUACGGGAGGCUGCAGUGGGGAAUAUUGGACAAUGGGGGGAACCCUGAUCCAGCCAUGCCGCGUGUGUGAAGAAGGCCCUCGGGUUGUAAAGCACUUUCAGUGAGGAAGAACGCCUGGUGGUUAAUACCCAUCAGGAAAGACAUCACUCACAGAAGAAGCACCGGCUAACUCCGUGCCAGCAGCCGCGGUAAUACGGAGGGUGCGAGCGUUAAUCGGAAGUACUGGGCGUAAAGCGCGCGUAGGUGGCUUGAUAAGCCGGUUGUGAAAGCCCCGGGCUCAACCUGGGAACGGCAUCCGGAACUGUCAAGCUCGAGUGCAGGCGAGGAAGGUAGAAUUCCCGGUGUAGCGGUGAAAUGCGUAGAGAUCGGGAGGAAUACCAGUGGCGAAGGCGGCCUUCUGGACUGACACUGACACUGAGGUGCGAAAGCGUGGGUAGCAAACAGGAUUAGAUACCCUUGUAGUC
rnacentral:rRNA from 1 species